ACCAGACUCCUACGGGAGGCAGCAGUGGGGAAUAUUGCACAAUGGGCGCAAGCCUGAUGCAGCCAUGCCGCGUGUAUGAAGAAGGCCUUCGGGUUGUAAAGUACUUUCAGCGGGGAGGAAGGUGUUGAGGUUAAUAACCUCAGCAAUUGACGUUACCCGCAGAAGAAGCACCGGCUAACUCCGUGCCAGCAGCCGCGGUAAUACGGAGGGUGCAAGCGUUAAUCGGAAUUACUGGGCGUAAAGCGCACGCAGGCGGUCUGUCAAGUCGGAUGUGAAAUCCCCGGGCUCAACCUGGGAACUGCAUUCGAAACUGGCAGGCUGGAGUCUUGUAGAGGGGGGUAGAAUUCCAGGUGUAGCGGUGAAAUGCGUAGAGAUCUGGAGGAAUACCGGUGGCGAAGGCAGCCUCCUGGGACGCAACUGACGCUCAUACACGAAAGCGUGGGGAGCAAACAGGAUUAGAUACCCGCGUA
rnacentral:rRNA from 1 species